rnacentral:lncRNA from 1 species
GACCCAGCAGGGGAGGAUGGUCACCAGUGAAAGAAAGACAGAGAACAAAAACUAUAGACAUUCACCACUUCAACCAAGAGGAGGAAAACUGCACUGGAUCCACUCAGAAAUGAACUUUCUCUCCACGGACUCCAGCCCCACUCAUUUUCUUCGUCUCUGGAAUGAGCCAGCUCUUCCUGGCUCCAAGGCUUGUCUCAGCUACAGAGGAGUAAGAGGAAGGCUGAGGAUCAGAGGACCCCCACUUCUAAAGACGUUGGGAUGCCAGUGACAACAGGACCCUUCAAGAACCUGGAGCCUAGGCCAGAGCACUGUCAGCUAUAGGAUGCUUUGCAAAGAAGAAAUUGUCAUCCUGAAGGCCCAGGACAAAAUCACCCAAUAAAGCGCUGAAGCAGGAUGUCUGCCGGUAGGCAUCUCGUUCCCCUUUUUCUUCUCUUUAUCUUCCUUUUGUAAUUUUCCCUCUUCUCCAUUUAAGUGCCCAGCUUGCUUCUUCCCUCCCUGCCUCCCUUCCCAAGCACUGUGUGAGUACAGGGCUAGGCACUGUGGACACAGAGGGGCAGGUUAGUAGGGUCGUGGGCCUGCCAUCUGAGGAUGUUCUCCUCAUCUCACUACUGGGUUUGGGGGGUGAGGAUCAAGGAAGCUCCCCAGGAAGGCCAGUUUUGCCGAGUCUUGCCAGAGGAGUUGGCCUCAGAACAGAUGCAGGAGCAAGAGCAAAGGCAGGGGAGCAGGGCAGGUUCUGGAACUGCAUAGGACCCAGUGACUGGAAUGUGGCUGGUAAAGGUAACAGGUGGCUAAAGUGGUAAAGGUAACAGAUGGCUGCAGAAGGGGAGAGAUGGGCUGGAGCGCCCUAAAGGAAGCAAUGGGGGCUGGGCGUAAUGGCUCACGCCUCUAAUCCCAGCACUUUGGGAGGCCGAGGCAGGCAGACUUGACGUCAGGAGUUUAAGACCAGCCUGGCCAACACGGUGAAAAUACAAAAUUUAAAAUACAUUAAAAAUACAAAAAUUAGCCGAACAUGGUGGUGCACACCUGUAAUCCCAGCUCUCUGAGAGGCUAAGACAGGAGAAUCCCUUGAACCUGGGAGGAGGAGGUUCCAGUAAGCCAAGAUUGUGCUACUGCACUCCAGCCUGGGUGACAGAGUGAGACUUUGUCUCAAAAAUAAACAAUAAAAUAAAAAAAAGCAAUGGGAACUACUAGAGAGUUUAAGCAAGGGUGUAAUUCGAU